rnacentral:rRNA from 1 species
CACGUAGUUAGCCGGUGCUUCUUAUCCAGGUACCGUCAAACAAACUUCGUCCCUGACGAAAGGAGUUUACAACCCGAAGGCCUUCAUCCCCCACACGGCGUCGCUGCAUCAGGCUUCCGCCCAUUGUGCAAAAUUCCCCACUGCUGCCUCCCGUAGGAGUCUGGGCCGUAUCUCAGUCCCAAUGUGGCCGCACACCCUCUCAGGCCGGCUACCCGUCGCCGCCUUGGUAGGCCAUUACCCCACCAACAAGCUGAUAGGCCGCAAGCUCAUCUCCCACCGCAAAAGCUUUCCACCACACCAACCACGGCAUAGUGAAUAUCCGGUAUUAGACCCAGUUUCCCAAGCUUAUCCCGAAGUGAAAGGCAGAUCACCUACGUGUUACUCACCCGUUCGCCACUCGAGCACCCCAGCAAGCUGAGGCCUUUCCGUUCGACUUGCAUGUGUUAAGCACGCCGCCAGCGUUCAUCCUGAGCCAGGAUCAAACUCU